GGGGACGUAGCUCAAUUGGGAGAGCACGGGCUUUGCAAGUCCGGGGUUGGCGGUUCGAGCCCGCUCGUCUCCA
rfam:Planctomycetes bacterium RBG_13_63_9 RBG_13_scaffold_21283, whole genome shotgun sequence.